rnacentral:lncRNA from 1 species
CUUAAGUACCCAGAUUUUCUUACGCAGGAAAGAAACAUGAAGUAAGAUUUAAGCCUUGAAAGUAUCAUAAAUAUAUCAUUCUUCAAAUUGAUUGUGAUGAAAAGAGAUAGGAUUCUUUCUCCUUAGAAUUUUCACUGAUCUAUAAUGGGAUCAAAAAAGUAGAAAAAUCAGUCUGCAGAAUGAAAACAGAUUAAUGAAAUAGCUAGAAAGGAGGGGAGAGCAUUUGUUUAGUUAAAUGUUAAGGUAACUUGAAAAUUGUCUAUGAAAUGCUAAAACUGUACCAGAGCCUUAUUGCACACUCAACAUUUUAAGCCUGGGAGCAGGGGAAGGUGGGAAAAGGUUGGAGUGAUAGAAGUGUUUGCCUUAUGAUCUCUUGACUCCUUUUACACAAGAAGCAGAUUGGUAGAGCUUAAGCAGGUGUCUGUGCUGUGGUGCUGGCUCUGCCAAAAACUCUCAUAUGCCCUAGGAAAGUUCCUUUAACUUCUCUGAGCCCAAGUUUAUCUGUAAAGUGAAGACUUUUUAAAUUUAGUAAUCUGUAUGUCUCUUCAUCUCUGAUAAUUCUAUAAUGUUUUCAGAUUGUUAUAUGUGUACAUGUACAUGUUGCUCCCCUCUAGUCACUAAGAUGCCACAUAUUUCUACUUGAGUGAACAGAUUGCAAGUCCAAAUGUUCUUGUUUCUAAUACUAAUAAUUGAUCUCAGCAAGACAUAAAAAAGUAAAAAAAAAGUAAUCUUACCUCUUAUUUUGACCUUGGCUUUAAAUUAUUAUGAUUUAUCAUUUCAUCUUUGAAUGCUGAGUGAAUUACCUAAACAGAAUGUCUGUUCCAGUUAAUCUUCUCUUUAAAUUUUUGUAGUUUAAUAAACAUGUAGCAAAUCAGAAGCAAGUAUAUCAUGCUUAUCGAUGAACUGUAGCAGAUUGUAAUGGUGCAUUUUUGUCACAUUAAAAAGUUAAUGUCCUUUUGGUCCCAGAAGCAAUUACUAUAAUUUAAAAUAAUAUUCACACAAUUUUGUGAAUGUUUUUGAAUACAAAGGAGGCCUAAUACAGCCAUAUCGUAGUUCAUUUUGCUCAGGAGUGAGAAACAAAAUUCAGGGAUAACCCAAACAUGUCUGUUUGGCAAUAGUGGAUAGUUAGGUAAAGAAGGGUUAUAGCUUUUGCACAUCACAGAUAAGAGGCGACUAUACCUAUUGAAAAACAGCAGUAUAUUCUGGUUCUUGCUUUUAUGAUGGAAAGAUAUUAGAAUGAUACUAAAAUUUGGAUGCUCGGGAAAUUGAAUAAUACAGAAAUAUUUUGUCAUACUGAGAUUAUUUGUCCAGAAGUUUAGUCUUAUAUCCCUUCCAUUCAGAAAAGGGGGCAGUUUUUAAAGGCCUCUGUCAUAAAAGGAAAUGUAUAUUUUGACUAGUGGAGCAAUUAGUUAAAACAUUUAAUCUGAUCAUUUUGGUUUUAUGAAUCUGAAUUUUCACUUUAGGUGUAAUUGAGUCGCUUAUGUAUUACUGUGAUCUUUGUGAGAAGUGAUUUCGUUCAUUUUUUUAAAUUUGAUGAAACUUGAUAAAUGGUGAUUCUAGCAUAUUGUGUUAAUACUGUAUCUUACAACAAUUUGUGAACUGACCAUCAUAAACGAAUCAUAGUAGUAUCUCUUCUGGUAAGUUGUUUCUAUAUGUGAUCUCUUAAUGCUGGGUUUGGGGGUGGGGAUGGGGUUAAGUAUUUAGUUUACUUUAAACUGUCAAAGUGUUUUUCUUAAAUGCCAUAAAAUUGUAUGAAUAUAAGCCAAAUAAGAAUAUUCUCUUUUUUCACUUUUAAGGGCACUGUAUAGACCAUUUUUGAAACUAUCCCACAGAAUGGUAUAAUUUCAGUUUAAAAGCUCUUACACACAUACACACACACAAAUAUAAAUAUAUAUAUACACAUUCAAGGGAAAGCAAACAGUGUAUGUAGUAUUUCUAAGUGACAUGCUACGUGUUAUAAGAAUCUAUUUUUGAAAUCUUAUACAGAUUAUGCAGAAGUCAGAAUAACAAAUAAAACACCUCAAUUUUUUUAUAGAGUCUAGCGUUAGUUUACUAUAAGAUUUGCUUACAUCAUACUUGCAAAGAUCAUUCACAUAAUUUAUUUAGCGUUGAAAAUAUUUAUAUGAAGUACUAAUAUCAUCUGAAGUUUAGAGAUUAAACAACCAAGGUUUAGAAAGAUCAAAUGACUAGUCCAAGAUAAUAUGGCCAAUAAAUGGCUCUAAACCUCCUAUGUUCUUUAUACUAUUCACUUUUUGUCAUGUUAUUUUUAUCCUGUCACUGCCAUUAUCUUUAAAACUUUGACAAAAAUUUAAUUUUAAAAGUUACAUUGGGAAUUUUCAGAUUUUAGUGCAAAGACAUUGUUGCUGUUCUUGUCAGACCUUUUCAGAUACCUCCAGACUAUAGCCCUUCCACAGGGUGAUAUUCAAACAUUUUCCACCUAAAACAUAUAAGUUUGCACACCCUGACCACAGACACUGAAUUCACUUGAUGUCAGAAUGCUAGACUAAAAGUUGAUCUUCUUGACUGACAUUUCUAAUCUCCCUUUUUAAAAAUCCAUCAUAAGGACUGACUUCUGAACAGUUGAAUAAAGCAGUAAUCAAUCCAAGAAACUGCAUCCAUUCUGAUUCAGAGGAAAAAAAAAUCCAACCUAGCGACCAUUUUUCAGCAUACUGUAUUUCAUCACAUUUAUUCUGUGAUUAGUGGAGGACAGAGAAGAGGGACUGGGGAGAAAAACUGCCUUUAUUUUAAGAAAGCUCAUUUCCUGUAACUAUUCAAAAAGAAUUGAUUAUCAAGUGUUAGAUAACAAUAUUACUAACAUUUAUCACAGUUCAAAUAUUUAGUAAAAUUUCUCCACAUAUUUAAAAUUUUACUUAAGAAUUUUCCCAGUUAAAAUAUAAUGACUGCUUAGUUUGAAUAAGGAAGACAUUCCUUUCAAUUCAUGACACAAUAGUACAUUUUUAUUCUUUUCUCAGACAGCAGAGAGACACUGUUACUGCUUUCCCUUGUAAGUCAACAGUCUGUGAUACAUGCUGUACUUUUACUGAUUAGCAAUGCAAUGUUACUGUGAAUAUUUAACUAGAACUUAUUAUAUUGGAAUUUAAAAUUUUCUAACAUUGAAUUUAGUUCUCUUCAUCAAAUAAGCAAGCAUUAUUUUUAUGAAAUGAAAUAAUCAUUCUUAAGCAGUGAUGAUAAUGGAAUUCUGAAUAAGAUGUAAAAUCAAACAUUCUAUUUUUUCUGUUUAUCCUUUGACAUUGAGUUGUUUUAAUUUAUUACAUAUUAUUAAGUUGAAAUAAGCUUUAUACCAUGUUCUCUGAUGUUCAUGUCAUAAUAAUUUUGGGCCUUUUGUUAAGUAAAUAUCAGAAAAUAUCUGUGAGUUUUGAUUAUGUGAUAUUUUCAUCUGAUUGAUUUUUUAAAUUUCUCAUUGGAUUUAAAGUGUUUUCUUUGCUAAUGUUAUAUACAGAAUUCAAUAAAAGACCAAAAAAAAA